CUCGGGUCUGUGGUUGAAAAUCGAGGCCAGCUGCGGGCAAAACGAUCCACGUAAGCCGUCAAAAGGGCGGUGAUCAUGGGGCAGUUUAGAGGUAAGACCGGCCAGGUGCUUGCUUUGUAGGAAAACAAUCUUCGGUUGAACAUCCGUCAAAUGUAAGAAUCCUGAGAGGGGUAGUAGUGGGGAGGCCAAUGCCUUAGGAGCGAACCCUCCAGCCGGCGGAUGUGGGGGCAAAGACCAGGUCAGCCGAG
rnacentral:ncRNA from 1 species